rnacentral:sRNA from 1 species
GUUAAAUCAGCAGAGCAAGGACCCAAGGAGCAAAAAUUCAAUCAGAAACAUGCCGUUUUGAUUGCGAAACACAGCGCUGGUUGGGGUAGAGAAGCAGUAAGCAGCAAGUAAACGGGAAGAAUGCGACACAGAAUUCGAGGAUGAUGAAACGGCUACUUUGCGAAGAGAUGAAAUUGCUGCCGCAAUUAACUAAUAGUGUUAAUAUAUUUAUAUAUUAAUUGUAUGUAUUAAUAUAUAUGUAGAUAUAUAAUUUCAAUCAAAACUGAACAAAUAUUUCAUUUGGUUAAGAAGUAAACUCUACUUUCGCACUUAAAA